UUUUUGUUUUAUAUAGAGGCCCUCUAAGGACUUUCCUUUUCCGUUGUAUCCGAAGCUGUCAAGGGCUCACAAGUUUCCUAGUUUGACAUUUUGAAAAGAAAAGGAGGGUGGGGAUUUAGUUUUUGUGUUCUGGCAUAUUGUCGUAGUCAUGUUCCCUUUUCCCAUUUGCUCUGAUUUAUGUUUCGCGAGAACCUCGGGGAUCUUCGGUCCUCCCGGGGCAAUAU
rnacentral:lncRNA from 1 species